UACGUAGGGUCCGAGCGUUGUUCGGAUUCAUUGGGCGUAAAGGGUGCGUAGGCGGCGCGGUAAGUCGGGUGUGAAAUCUCGGAGCUUAACUCCGAAACUGCAUUUGAUACUGCGGUGCUUGAGGACUGGAGAGGAGACUGGAAUUUACGGUGUAGCAGUGAAAUGCGUAGAGAUCGUAAGGAAGACCAGUGGCGAAGGCGGGUCUCUGGACAGUUCCUGACACUGAGGCACGAAGGCCAGGGGAGCAAACGGG
rnacentral:rRNA from 1 species